rnacentral:lncRNA from 1 species
UGCACACCCACCCCAUUCCAGCAGACGCACACACGCCCCGCCCGAACAAGUCCACGAUGCCAGGCUGGACCUUCAGAGCACAGGAACCGCCCAAGGACACUUGCCUUGACUGGAACCCAAGCGGAGGCUGGGCAGAGCUAAUCGAACCUAGAAUGCAGAAACCGGCUGAGCGAUUCGAGGUGUGUUCACCAAUCGGACAGAAGCUCGACUAGAAGCUUCAGGGAAAAAAUGCAAAACCAAGCAAAUCCA